rnacentral:rRNA from 1 species
UACAGAGGUCUCAAGCGUUGUUCGGAUUCAUUGGGCGUAAAGGGUGCGUAGGUGGUGCCGUAAGUCAGGUGUGAAAUUUCGGAGCUUAACUCCGAAACUGCAUUUGAUACUGCGGUGCUUGAGGACUGGAGAGGAGACUGGAAUUUACGGUGUAGCAGUGAAAUGCGUAGAGAUCGUAAGGAAGACCAGUGGCGAAGGCGGGUCUCUGGACAGUUCCUGACACUGAGGCACGAAGGCCAGGGGAGCAAACGGG